AUUGAACGCUGGCGGCAGGCCUAACACAUGCAAGUCGAGCGGAUGAAGAGAGCUUGCUCUCUGAUUUAGCGGCGGACGGGUGAGUAAUGCCUAGGAAUCUGCCUGGUAGUGGGGGAUAACGUUCCGAAAGGAACGCUAAUACCGCAUACGUCCUACGGGAGAAAGCAGGGGACCUUCGGGCCUUGCGCUAUCAGAUGAGCCUAGGUCGGAUUAGCUAGUUGGUGAGGUAAUGGCUCACCAAGGCUACGAUCCGUAACUGGUCUGAGAGGAUGAGCAGUCACACUGGAACUGAGACACGGUCCAGACUCCUACGGGAGGCAGCAGUGGGGAAUAUUGGACAAUGGGCGAAAGCCUGAUCCAGCCAUGCCGCGUGUGUGAAGAAGGUCUUCGGAUUGUAAAGCACUUUAAGUUGGGAGGAAGGGUUGUAGAUUAAUACUCAGCAAUUUUGACGUUACCGACAGAAUAAGCACCGGCUAACUCUGUGCCAGCCGCCGCGGUAAGAC
rnacentral:rRNA from 1 species